AGUGAACGCUGGCGGUAGGCCUAACACAUGCAAGUCGAGCGGCAGCACAGAAAGAACUAGCUGUUACGGGUGGCGAGUGGCGGACGGGUGAGAAAUACAUCGGAAUCUCCGUUUUCGUGGGGGAUAACGUAGGGAAACUUACACUAAUACCUCAUACGACCUACGGGUUAAAGCAGGGGAUAUUCGCACCUUGCGAGAUAGAAUGAGCCGAUGUCGGAUUAGCUAGUUGGCGGGGUAAAGGCCCACCAAGGCGACGAUCCGUAGCUGGUCUGAGAGGAUGAUCAGCCACACUGGAACUGAGACACGGUCCAGACUCCUACGGGAGGCAGCAGUGGGGAAUCUUGGCCAAUUGGCGGAAGCCUGCUCCAGCCAUACCGCGUGGGUGAAGAAGGCCUUCGGGUUGUAAAGCCCUUUUGUUGGGAAAGAAAAACAAAAGGUUAAUACCCCGUUAUUCUGACGUUACCCAAAGAAUAAGCCGCGGCUAACUUCGUG
rnacentral:rRNA from 1 species